GCCAACUCAGACAGUGCUCAGUGUUCUGAUGAAUAUCGGAAAGUUUUCUUCCGUUGUGGAUAGUGCAUGCAAUUAAUCCUAUAGCUAGUGAAAAGUGGCACAAACUGUCGGUGGGAUACAAUAACCGACAUUGAAAGCGACAGAAAGCGCAUGCCACUAGCAACGUGUUCUUCGUAUAGCGAGAACAGACGAAACACCAUUACUCAAGGUCGAGUAGACGAAGACUUAUUGCUUGAUUGGUUCAUUGCAUCCAGAGCCUGGUUGAGCAACUAGAACCUAUCCGGGAAAAUUGGAAAUUACCCAAAUAAACGGAAAGUUGAAAGCUUGCAUGCUGUUCGCGAAUUCUUGCUUCGCAAACCACUCCAGCAAAGGCCUUCUACAUCAGAGGGCCUUUGUUUGCAGCCGUAAGACGACCGCGUGCAAUACAAUCGGCACUGGACACCGCAUGUUACCUAUCCAACAGUGAAUGAUAUAUCGGAGAGGCCGAUAGGGCAGCACUUGAAGCGAGCGAUAGAAGGUAGACGACGGCAGCGACGAUAAACGUGUCGCGUGACAUCGAAUGAUUGCAACGCAUGCGACUGUCUCGGACUUCGUGCGCACGACAAUAGGCAACGAGUUGUGUGACGAGUAUUGGUGCAUCGGCGACCAUCGAUGGUAUUAGCAAACUCGAUGCGACUGUGCGCUGUGCGGCAACAACGUGCUGUGAUUCGGAGGCAUGAUGAAGCGAUGCAGUUUCAACAGAACGGGGCCCCCACCGAAUGAGUAUGUCGAAGAAUAGAGAAUUGAGAUAGGCAGGUACGAUAGGCAUAAGAUAGAGCAAUAUAGACAAAUCAUAUGAACACUACUUCCGAUUAUUUGGGACAACUUUUGGGUAAUUGAGUUUCGAACUUUCGCAUUGAUUUUGUUUUACGCAGGUGCGAAUGCACCUUAGGCAUUUAAGAGAUUAAGCGUUUAUUUAUGGCUUUGCCAGGCGGCAA